AACGAACGCUGGCGGCGUGGAUAAGACAUGCAAGUCGGACGAGAUUUUUCGUUGUAGCAAUACGAUGGAAAGUCUAGUGGCGAACGGGUGCUUAACACGUGGGCAAUCUGUCUUAAAGUGGGGGAUAGCUCGGCGAAAGCCGAAUUAAUACCGCAUGUGAUUAGAGUGGACAUCCAUUCGAAAUUAAAGCCGGGGCAACCUGGCGCUUUUUGAGGAGCCCGCGGCCAAUCAGCUUGUUGGUGAGGUAACGGCUCACCAAGGCUUUGACGGGUAGCUGGUCUGAGAGGACGACCAGCCACACUGGGACUGAGACACGGCCCAGACACCUACGGGUGGCAGCAGUCGAGAAUUUUUCUCAAUGGGGGAAACCCUGAAGGAGCGACGCCGCGUGGAGGAUGAAGGUCUUCGGAUUGUAGACUCCUGUCAUUGGGGAACAAGUCGCUUACGUUAACUGCGUGAGCGUUGAUAGUACCCGAAGAGGAAGAGACGGCUAACUCUGUGCCAGCCGCCGCAGUAA
rnacentral:rRNA from 1 species